GACGAACGCUGGCGGCGUGCUUAACACAUGCAAGUCGAACGGAAAGGCCCUGCUUUUGUGGGGUGCUCGAGUGGCGAACGGGUGAGUAACACGUGAGUAACCUGCCCUUGACUUUGGGAUAACUUCAGGAAACUGGGGAUAAUACCGGAUAGGAGCUCCUGCUGCAUGGUGGGGGUAGGAAAGUUUCGGCGGUUGGGGAUGGACUCGCGGCUUAUCAGCUUGUUGGUGGGGUAGUGGCUUACCAAGGCUUUGACGGGUAGCCGGCCUGAGAGGGUGACCGGCCACAUUGGGACGGAGAUACGGCCCAGACUCCUACGGGAGGCAGCAGUGGGGAAUAUUGCACAAUGGGCGGAAGCCUGAUGCAGCAACGCCGCGUGCGGGAUGACGGCCUGCGGGUUGUAAACCGCUUUCGCCUGUGACGAAGCGUGAGUGACGGUAAUGGGUAAAGAAGCACCGGCUAACUACGUG
rnacentral:rRNA from 1 species